rnacentral:rRNA from 1 species
GACGAACCGUGCGAACGUUGUUCGGAAUCACUGGGCUUAAAGGGCGCGUAGGCGGCCAGAUAAGUCCGGUGUGAAAGUCAGAGGCUCAACCUUUGAAUGCCGCUGGAAACUGUCUGGCUUGAGUCCGGAAGGGGCGAGUGGAAUUCCUGGUGUAGCGGUGAAAUGCGCAGAUAUCAGGAGGAACACCAAUGGCGAAGGCAGCUCGCUGGAACGGUACUGACGCUGAGGCGCGAAAGCGUGGGGAGCGAACAGG